CGCCCAAAAGCUAGCCCCCUCACUUAAAAACAACAAACCCUAUUAAUACCCCCUAAUACACAAUCUAACCACAAAACAAAUCAUUUUUCCCCCUUAGUAUGGGCGACAGAAAAGGAACUUACGGCGCCAUAGAAAAAGUACCGCAAGGGAACGCUGAAAGAGAAAUGAAACAAACCAGUAAAGCUAAAAAAAGCAGAGUUUUCUCCUCGUACCUUUUGCAUCAUGAUUUAGUUAGUAAAAUUCAAGCAAAGAGCACUUUAGUUUGACACCCCGAAACUAGGUGAGCUACUCCAAGGCAGCCUGAUUUAUAGGGCACACCCGUCUCUGUGGCAAAAGAGUGGGAAGACCUUCGAGUAGGAGUGAUAGACCUAUCGAACCUAGUUAUAGCUGGUUGCCUGGGAACUGGAUAGGAGUUCAGCCUCUCGGAUUCUUCCGUCAACACAUAAUAUUCAAGGGCCCCCCCUUCAACCGACACAACAGAAGCCGUGAGAGUUAGUCAAAGGGGGUACAGCCCCUUUGACACAAGACACAACUUUCUAAGGAGGGUAAUGAUCACA
rnacentral:rRNA from 1 species